UGCUUGCACCGAGCGGAUGAGUUGCGAACGGGUGAGUAACGCGUAGGUAACCUGCCUCUUAGCGGGGGAUAACUAUUGGAAACGAUAGCUAAUACCGCAUAAAAGUCGACAUCGCAUGAUGUUGACUUGAAAGGUGCAAUUGCAUCACUAAGAGAUGGACCUGCGUUGUAUUAGCUAGUUGGUGAGGUAACGGCUCACCAAGGCGACGAUACAUAGCCGACCUGAGAGGGUGAUCGGCCACACUGGGACUGAGACACGGCCCAGACUCCUACGGGAGGCAGCAGUAGGGAAUCUUCGGCAAUGGGGGCAACCCUGACCGAGCAACGCCGCGUGAGUGAAGAAGGUUUUCGGAUCGUAAAGCUCUGUUGUAAGAGAAGAACGAGUGUGAGAGUGGAAAGUUCACACUGUGACGGUAACUUACCAGAAAGGGACGGCUAACUACGUGCCAGCAGCCGCGGUAAUACGUAGGUCCCGAGCGUUAUCCGGAUUUAUUGGGCGUAAGGCGAGCGCAGGCGGUUAGAUAAGUCUGAAGUUAAAGGCUGUGGCUUAACCAUAGUACGCUUUGGAAACUGUUUAACUUGAGUGCAGAAGGGGAGAGUGGAAUUCCAUGUGUAGCGGUGAAAUGCGUAGAUAUAUGGAGGAACACCGGUGGCG
rnacentral:rRNA from 1 species